CAAAGGAGUGAUCCGGCAGAGGAUGGACAUGCGGCGCAUUAGCUAGUCGGCGGGGUAACGGCCCACCGAGGCUACGAUGCGUAGGGGUUCUGAGAGGAAGGUCCCCCACACUGGUACUGAGACACGGACCAGACUCCUACGGGAGGCAGCAGUGAGGAAUAUUGGUCAAUGGGCGGAAGCCUGAACCAGCCAAGUCGCGUGAGGGAAGACGGUCCUAUGGAUUGUAAACCUCUUUUGCAGGGGAGCAAGGCGCGGUACGUGUACCGCGAAGGAGAGUACCCUGAGAAAAAGCAUCGGCUAACUCCGUGCCAGCAGCCGCGGUAAUACGGAGGAUGCGAGCGUUAUCCGGAUUUAUUGGGUUUAAAGGGUGCGCAGGCGGACUGUUAAGUCAGCGGUAAAAUGUCGGUGCCCAACACCGGCCGGCCGUUGAAACUGGCAGCCUUGAGUGAGCGAGAAGUAUGCGGAAUGCGUGGUGUAGCGGUGAAAUGCAUAGAUAUCACGCAGAACUCCGAUUGCGAAGGCAGCAUACCGGCGCUCAACUGACGCUCAGGCACGAAAGCGUGGGUAUCGAACAGGCUUAGAUACCCUGGUAGUCCACGCAGUAAACGAUGAAUGCUCACUGUCCGGGCCGUUUAAGGCCUGG
rnacentral:rRNA from 1 species